rnacentral:rRNA from 1 species
UACGGGGGGGGCAAGCGUUGUUCGGAAUUACUGGGCGUAAAGGGCUCGUAGGCGGCCAACUAAGUCAGACGUGAAAUCCCUCGGCUUAACCGGGGAACUGCGUCUGAUACUGGAUGGCUUGAAUCCGGGAGAGGGAUGCGGAAUUCCAGGUGUAGCGGUGAAAUGCGUAGAUAUCUGGAGGAACACCGGUGGCGAAGGCGGCAUCCUGGACCGGCAUUGACGCUGAGGAGCGAAAGCAUGGGGAGCGAACAGG